GCAUUAAUGGGGUAGUGGUAACCUGGGUCGUUGCCACAUUGCGCGGUUCGACCCGCCGGGGGUUCGAUUCCCCCUUAAUGCA